AGAGUUUGAUCCUGGCUCAGGACGAACGCUGGCGGCGUGCUUAACACAUGCAAGUCGAACGGAAAGGCCCUUCGGGGUACUCGAGUGGCGAACGGGUGAGUAACACGUGGGUGAUCUGCCCUGCACUUUGGGAUAAGCCUGGGAAACUGGGUCUAAUACCGAAUAGGACCGCGCGCUUCAUGGUGUGUGGUGGAAGGCUUUUGCGGUGUGGGAUGGGCCCGCGGCCUAUCAGCUUGUUGGUGGGGUAAUGGCCUACCAAGGCGACGACGGGUAGCCGGCCUGAGAGGGUGACCGGCCACACUGGGACUGAGAUACGGCCCAGACUCCUACGGGAGGCAGCAGUGGGGAAUAUUGCACAAUGGGCGCAAGCCUGAUGCAGCGACGCCGCGUGAGGGAUGACGGCCUUCGGGUUGUAAACCUCUUUCACCAGGGACGAAGCGCAAGUGACGGUACCUGGAGAAGAAGCACCGGCCAACUACGUGCCAGCAGCCGCGGUAAUACGUAGGGUGCGAGCGUUGUCCGGAAUUACUGGGCGUAAAGAGCUCGUAGGUGGUUUGUCGCGUUGUUCGUGAAAACUCACAGCUUAACUGUGGGCGUGCGGGCGAUACGGGCAGACUAGAGUACUGCAGGGGAGACUGGAAUUCCUGGUGUAGCGGUGGAAUGCGCAGAUAUCAGGAGGAACACCGGUGGCGAAGGCGGGUCUCUGGGCAGUAACUGACGCUGAGGAGCGAAAGCGUGGGGAGCGAACAGGAUUAGAUACCCUGGUAGUCCAA
rnacentral:rRNA from 1 species